GAGAAAGAGAGUGAGAGGAGAGAGUAGCUCUGAAGGUGAAAGCCCAAGAAGGAGUUCUUGAGCUGUGAAGGUCCAUCUUCUUCCCUCUCCCUUUCAGCCAACCUUCUGCCUCCCUGCGAGCUAGCACUUCCCGGGAAGUUGAUCAUUCCAGAGCUUCGCGUGGACGAGUCAUCGAGGCCGGACACUUGUGCGGCUGCGAAGCAUCCUUGAAGGAA
rnacentral:lncRNA from 1 species